rnacentral:lncRNA from 10 species
AGUUGGCUGCGCUCCACCAGUAAGGGUUCUCGAGCCCCCGGGCAGCCUGCGGGGGGCAGCGAGGCGCAAAGACCAUGCCCCAAGUGCCGAGGGAAAGUCCUGAGAUGCGCGACUUGGGACGCUAGGGGCCAAGCUCCGACGCGGGGCUGGGUGCACCUGGACGCACCUCACACGCCGCGAGCUAAGCAGAAAAGGGAGGCAGGCUGCCCCGACACCCCACUACUCACCGCUAGGUUUCCGUCUGGCGCCGAUCCGGCUGCGUCACGCCGGCCGAACGACACCCCGCUGAGUCGCCGCCGCAGGGAAGGUACCUUCGGCCCCAACGGGAAAAGCCAAUUUCCAGUAAUUCGCGCCCGACCACCGGGGAGUGAAUGUUUCCCUCUGAGGAUGAAGAUCACUAUAAACAACUCUGAUGAGAUCAUGCUGACACAAUGCCCCUUCUGUCAAAGCCAUGGAUCCAAUUGUUGAAGGCUACAAAAAUAAGGUAUUUGUGAAAAUGAUAUGCUAAAUUUUGUUUAAGAGAAAUAUACAACUCCCCCUGGGGCUAUUUGAAACAACGAAGUGCUGGGGAGGGAAAGAAGGAAAAACAGAAAAGAAUAUAUGGAUGACUCCCACUGUGAUUAAGAAAAACUGAGAACCACAGAAAAGGAAGAACACAGACAUCGAGGGAAUCAAAAGGAGUCCAAAGCCUAGGGUUACAUUUCUGACAUAUAACUGAGCAUUUUUCUAUAGUAUACUAAUUUUGCACUGUCAAAAGAUAACUGAACCACAGCACCAAUAAGUUAUGUCAACAACUUGUCAAACAUGACACUUUGCAAAAUGUUUGUUUCAUGUGUCCCAUUAUUGAAUUUUAUUACACUAAACACAUUAAUAAAAAUGAUAGCUUAAUGCUAAGCAUAAUCUAAAACACCAAAUUCCAUUAUUAAAUCAACAAACAUUUACUAAGUAUCUGCUGGUAAGCACUAUAGGAAACACA